AUGUUAUUGGUCACAUACACAUGGUUAUCAGAUGUUAUUGGUCACAUUCACAUGGUUCUCAGAUGUUAUUGGUUCAUAUACACAUGGUUCUCAGAUGUUAUUGGUUCAUAUACACAUGGUUAUCAGAUGUUAUUGGUCACAUUCACAUGGUUCUCAGAUGUUAUUGGUUCAUAUACACAUGGUUCUCAGAUGUUACUGGUCAUAUACACAUGGUUAGCAGAUGUUAUUGGUCAUAUACACAUGGUUAUCAGAUGUUAUUGGUCACAUACACAUGGUUAUCAGAUGUUAUUGGUUCAUAUACACAUGGUUAUCAGAUGUUACUGGUCAUAUACACAUGGUUAUCAGAUGUUACUGGUCACAUUCACAUGGUUAUCAGAUGUUACUGGUCACAUUCACAUGGUUAUCAGAUGUUACUGGUUCAUAUACACAUGGUUAUCAGAUGUUACUGGUCACAUACACAUGGUUAGCAGAUGUUAUUGGUCACAUUCACAUGGUUAUCAGAUGUUACUGGUCAUAUACACAUGGUUAUCAGAUGUUAUUGGUUCAUAUACACAUGGUUAUCAGAUGUUACUGGUCACAUUCACAUGGUUAUCAGAUGUUACUGGUCAUAUACACAUGGUUAUCAGAUGUUACUGGUCAUAUACACAUGGUUAUCAGAUGUUACUGGUCAUAUACACAUGGUUAUCAGAUGUUAUUGGUUCAUAUACACAUGGUUAUCAGAUGUUACUGGUCAUAUACACAUGGUUAUCAGAUGUUACUGGUCAUAUACACAUGGUUAGCAGAUGUUAUUGGUCACAUUCACAUGGUUAUCAGAUGUUAUUGGUCAUAUACACAUGGUUAGCAGAUGUUACUGGUCACAUUCACAUGGUUAUCAGAUGUUACUGGUCACAUUCACAUGGUUAUCAGAUGUUAUUGGUCAUAUACACAUGGUUAGCAGAUGUUAUUGGUCAUAUACACAUGGUUAGCAGAUGUUACUGGUCACAUUCACAUGGUUAUCAGAUGUUAUUGGUUCAUCUACACAUGGUUAGCAGAUGUUAUUGGUCAUAUACACAUGGUUAG
rnacentral:lncRNA from 1 species